rnacentral:rRNA from 1 species
ACUCCUACGGGGGGCAGCAGUGGGGGAUAUUGGACAAUGGGGGAAACCCUGAUCCAGCGAUGCCGCGUGAGGGAAGAAGGUUUUCGGAUUGUAAACCUCUGUGGAGGGGGACGAUAAUGACGGUACCCCUUUAGGAAGCCACGGCUAACUACGUGCCAGCAGCCGCGGUAAUACGUAGGUGGCGAGCGUUGUCCGGAAUUACUGGGUGUAAAGGGAGCGUAGACGGCAAUGCAAGUCCGGAGUGGAAUGCGGCAGCUCAACUGCCGAACUGCUCUGGAAACUGUAUGGCUUGAGUGCAGGAGGGG